GUAACAUCUUUGUUGGCAGUCACACAUGCGCAGUAGCUAGGUAAGAUCACAUCAUCUAGCUAGCUGUUUGUUUCUACAACUUCAGUAGUACAAGGCAGGAUUAGCCGGGAGACUUCUUCUAAACAAGGGCACACUUCCAACUUUGCGUGGAAUACCAGCAGAAUAGGGACAUCUUGACAGUGAUGGUGAGAGGAGAGCGGUGGUGACUGCACAUCGGGGCUUAAAUGAAAGAGGAUGUUUGGAGAUCUCAGACAGCUGGCAGGAUUAUUCAUCCCCUUCUUCCACAGAGUGUUCUGUCUGCAGUCAGGGCGCUUCCUCCUGAGCCAGCGGCAUCAUGGGAGGUUCCACCUCCUCCCUCGUUGACGAAACACACAGGCUUUGUAGCUUCAGAGAGACGUCAGCCAUGACACUUUGAAGUGUGGAGUCUUUCUAAUGACGUAUUUUCACAGUCUGAUACUUGAACAGUUUUACAACAAGCUGAGGGUUUCUCGACUUGCUAAGUUAUCUUUUAAACUGACAAACAUCAUAUGUGUAAUUCAUGGCUCAAUUCAAACAAGAGCCAAAUAAAUGUUGGUGUCUCCUCUUGGAUGGCCAGUGAGGACGUGACCCGUUGAUUCCUCCUGCAGGUGGACACAGAUCGUCAGAGGACCAAACCUUUGCUCUUUCUGUGAGCCACCGUCAGAGACGAGAGAGACCAACCUGACAGAAGUAGUCUAGAUCAAACAUGCUGAUUGGUUUAAAGUUGAUGUCUCAUUCUGAGUCUUCUGCUGAGUCAGGAUACAUUCAGUUAAAAUUCAUUCAUUAGUCUUCUUCCUAAGUUUUCAGUUUUUCUCGUAGCUUUUCAAAUCAUUUCCCCAUCACUAAUAGUUUCACUUCAACAGGUAGUCUGUGUUCAUAUCUCAUUCAUUUCUG
rnacentral:lncRNA from 1 species